rnacentral:rRNA from 1 species
GAUGAACGCUGGCGGUGUGCCUAAUACAUGCAAGUCGAGCGAACGGACGAGAAGCUUGCUCCCUUGAUGUUAGCGGGGGACGGGCGAGUAACACGUGGAUAACCAUCUAAUAUGACGGGGAUAAUUUCGGGAAACCGGAGCUAAUACUGCAUAAUAUUUUGAACCGCAUGGAUCAAAAGUGAAAGACGGCCUUGCUGUCUCUAUUAGCUGGAUCCGCGCUGCAUUAGCUAGUUGGUAAGGUAACGGCUUACCAAGGCAACGAUGCAUAGCCGACCUGAGAGGAUGAUCGGCCACACUGGAACUGAGACACGGUCCAGACUCCUACGGGAGGCAGCAGUGGGGAAUCUUCGACAAUGGGCGAAAGCCUGACGCAGCCACACCGCGUGGGUGAAGAAGGUCUUCGGGUCGUAAAGCUCUGUUAUUGGGGAAGAACAGAUGUGGGAUUAACUGUGGACAUCUUGACGGUACCUAAUCAAAAAGCCACGGCUAACUUCGUG